CAAGAGGCCCAGCAGUUUGCUAGUCACCACUGUGCCUACAGGCUGGGGCUCCUGGGAGGACUCGACUAGGCCAAUGAUGCCAAAUUAUGUUCUGGAACCUGUGCGCCCUAGUCUAUGCCUGCUGUCUGUUCACACCCAACUGAAUGACCAGUACUACCCAUGUGACCAAGAAGCACAGCAGUUUGUGGAAAAGGGGAACAUAGUUUCAAGACAUUGUCCUGCGUGGUGGAUACUGGGAAGGAUACACCUGGGCCGAUGAAAAGUGACACUCUGGAACCUGUGCACCCUCGUCUGCCCUUGCUGUCUAUUCACACCCGAUGCAAUGACAAGCACUGCCUGUGUGAUGUAUGCUGCCUGGCGGGUCACACUUGCAUCCUGGGUCCCAGUGUGUUUCAGAGCCUGCACCUGAGCUCCGGGCCUGGACAAGGAUACCUUGUUGGUACAACCAGAGCUCCCUCAGGGACUCCUUGGGUGAGACUCUUGCCACCACUCCUCUGAGCCAUGCCAGUGAUGGAAUGCUCAGCCAGGGUAAAGAUCCCAAACUUAGGCCUCUGGGGAAUAAAGGAGCAUUGAAAUUCCCAGGUGAGUGCAUGGUGGGGACCAGUAUCUUUGCUAUGGAUCUGAGUGUCAGUGCAGGUCAUCCAAAGCAAAUCUAAGGGGUGGAUCCACAGAAACACAGGAGAGUUGACUCAUGCUGUACUCAAGAGCAAGGUGUGCCCAUUUGUGCUCUGAGGUCCAGAAUGCAUUGCUUGAACCCCUGGCCAGGUUUGGGAGCCAACUAAGGGGAUGGCAAGGUUCCUGGGGGAUGGUUCUCAUCCUAAGUGAGAUUAGCAGCUCUGAGUUGCCUUGCUCAUUUGUCCAGUUGUCAUGGAACACUAGGGGUCAGGUAUUUGUGUGGGUGCAGGAUUCAGAUUCACUAGGAGGUCUUGGAUGAGGCUACACCAUGCAGGGACAGAGGUUUGGUUGGGUAGCAGGCCCUGCAUGUUCCUGGCUGCCUGGAAGCUUUAUAUGGGUCACUAGGACACUGGAGCCAUGAUUCAGGGACACUGACCAGUACCCAGUUAUGUGGGUGCCAAAACCUUGCCCAGGACACCUGCCAGAUGGUGUAAGUCACACCAUAUCCAUACGGCUUGUCUUGUCUAAGGUCUAGCCUUUGCUGGCCACAUGGGUGGACUUUUGACUGAGUUGAUCUCAGCAAGAAUGUCAGGGCUCCUCCUAGGGCCCCUGAUUCUGCUCCUUCUAGGGAGGCAAAAAAAAAUGGUAUGGGUGAGCUGCAGUCCAGCCCAAUACCGGUCCCCCAUCUUUGCAAUAUAUACAGGACUGCAGUAGCCCAUGACCAUAGGAGGAAUGUGUCUCAGGUGCACACUUUCUGAACUCUGAGAAUCCAUUGUGUAUAUGCAACCAGCAUGUAAGCUCCCAGGCCUAAACGGAGAUGUCUUGUUAUUAGGACCAGGGCACCACUAGGGUCUCUUUGGGUGUGUCUCAUGUGACCAGUCCCCUGAGCCCAGUUCCUUGCCACUGCUUGAUUAUCUAGCCCAGGUCCUGCUGAAUCCUGGGUACUGGGGUCAGGAAGGAGCUUUAGGGGAAGCUGGCUCCAGGAGGGCAACCUGGUCUGAGUAACCCUCUCUGGACCACUGACCAACAGACCCAGUAGUUUUCAGGCAAGGUGUGGGGCUUUUCCAUCCCCGGCACACCUAUAGAGGUGGCUUCAUGGUAGGCCUCACCUGGGCCAAUGGUGCCAACAUAUGCUGUGGAACCAGUGCAUCCUGGCCUGCACCAGCUGUGUGUUCACAGUUCCUCCCAGUCCCACAGAUGAUGUUACCAGAGGAAGCCUACAUGUGUUCCAGUGCCCUAGAAGCAAGGACUGUUGUCAUGGCCCCAGCAGCCUAAGAGUUCAUUCUUCCAGCUCAUUUUCCAUUAGAAAAGGAGAUGUCUGCAACUGCUUGUGAUAAGCCAGAAAUCUGUGCCUUGGAGUUGAGAUGGCACCAGGGUCUUCUAGUGCUGUGGUUCCUGUGGUUGGGUCAAUGAUGAGACCUCUUACUGUUUUUUUGUUUGUCUGUUAGUUUUUUAACUUUUAUAACUUUUAUUUAAUAAAUAUAAAUUUCCAAAGUACAGCUUAUGGAUUACAAUGGCUUUUCCCCCCCAAUAACUUCCCUCCCACCCGCAACCCUCCCAUCUCCCGCUCCCUCUCCCAUUCCAUUCACAUCAA